UAAGGUGUGACUUUUUCCCUUGGGAGUAUAAUGAAACUCAACAGAUGUUGGAUUUCUUUUGCGUAUCAACCCUGAUGACUAUCAGGACCGCAAAGUUAAGUAGGAAGUUAGCAAAACAUUUUUUUCUUCUUUUUUUCGAGAUAAAACUCAUAAGGUAUUUUUCUAGUGAUGAAAAAUAUCUCAAUUUUAGGACUGGUGCAGCUCGGAACUUUUAACUCACAACUGUAACUCCAAGUCUGAAUUUACCUCCAGAGUUGAGGAUACGAGAAAUUACUCGAGACUUCGAGGCGAUCAAAUGUCAGCUGCACAUGAAUUUCCUUCAAAAGAGGACCUAUGCAAUUUAUUUGCAUUAGCGUUACCACGCUAUCUCGCGGCAAAGCAGGGGCCAUUUGCUAGGCGAGAAACCUCUUCCUCGUAUCAUCUUGCGAUGACGUUCUGAUGUUAAAUGCGUGUCAAUUCGUGGCGAGAAAGGCCCAUUGGACGGGAGAAAAAAGUGGAAGUGAAAGAGGUGAGUUUGGAUCCCGACACUUCCGUAAUUCCACCUACCGGCAAAGCCGCACCGGUCGGAGCGGAGCAACGAGGAAAAAAAAGUGAAACAGUGAUGAGCGAAUAUGACGAUCAGUUGAAGCAUGCUGUUUAAGCCGCGCUCUCGCCUGCAAGUGCAGCUUCUCGGUGCGUGAUGUGUUCGAGUUCGCGUGAAUAAGUGACGUAUUUCCAUCCCAUACUGUGCGUCAUAUGGACUGCAUUCUGCAAUACGGGUCUACAGUUCCUGACUCAGUUUCGAAACAACGUAUGUACCAUUAGUUUCCUUAAUGAAAUUCAGGUUAGAAAUUACUCAGGUUGCGAAUAGACUGAUUUAGCGACUACGUCAUACGAUAUACCUAAUAUCGGACCCUUGGUUCAAAUGUCAACAAACACUGAACCUUUGUGUCUGAUUCGCGCCCUUUCGGGCAUGGGUGGUAAAAUGCGUCCAAGUGUUUCUCACAAUCGAAAGUUCUCGAAUUUAAUGAGUGUUUAAUUGAUUUAUGACCCGGUCAUUGAAUAAAUUUUAAUAAAUUAACACAAUAGAGGCUUUUCAAGUGUCUGAAAUUCGAUGAAUUUCGUGUUUAAGUGAAAACUAAUGAGUGGACUGAACACAAGGGUACCCUUGAAUCAUGAAUUGAACAAUUAUUGGAGAAGGUAUGACAAAAUGAACUAAUCUGCUAAAAUACAUGUGUUUCAAUGGGUAAUGCCGCCAGAUGACGUCACUAGUCGGUGCUAUUUCUCGCUUUUAAAUCCAUCUUUAUACACUGGAAAAAAAAAACAACAUUGGAUCUAGAGUCCAGACUCCUAAAAACAUUGACAAGAAAAAAUAUACUUGAUUCAAUCAGAUUUAAGCUUAAAUCAAGAACCAAGUCUCUUAAUUUGAGCGGAUUUCCUUUCGAUUUAAGCUUAAAUCUGAUUGAAUCAAGCGUCCUUUUUCUUGUCAAUGUUUUCAAGAGUCUGGACUCUAGAUCCAAUGUGUUUUUUUCCAGUGUACUAUUUUCCCUAUCAGAAAAAAAUAAAAAAAAUACUGUGAAAUCAGCUCUUUAAGCACUUUCAGAUGAAGCAAUACAAAUUCGCAUGCAAAUUCUCCCUUAUCUCAUGAAGAAUUUGCACAUGAGGUUAUGUUAGUUUGUUUUGGUUUGAACGAAGAGUUUCAUACUCCGUUUCAUAUCAAAUGACGUAGCCACUAAAUCAGUUCAUGGACCAUCCGAAACGCCGAGAAGAUACAGAAGCCUCUGAAAGAUACACACGUUUCCUCAAAUCAAAAUUUUUCGCAGAGCAUACUCGGUUGCAAAUCGUCGCCCUCUGAUGUAAGGGCGUAUUUCUAUUUCUAGAUGAACUCCAAAUAGGAUGGUGUUAUAUGAUUAACAAGGCUCACGUGGAAAUCGAAAUCCCCCCUCAAGCCAGUGGGACGACGAUGUGAAGCAUAUUUUUUUUAUGGAUCGGACCCGAAGGUU
rnacentral:lncRNA from 1 species